UGGCUCAGAACGAACGCUGGCGGCGUGCUUAACACAUGCAAGUCGGAUGCGAACGGCGCUUUCGGGCGGUGAGUAGCAUGGCAGACGGGUGAGGAGCGCGUAUCUGACUGGACUCAGGCUGGGGGAUAGUCCCUCGAAAGGGGGUUGAAUACCGCAUGUGCUCGGUGCUGUGAGGGCAUCGAGGAAAGUUGGCCUCUGCGGGCACGCUGAUGGCCUGAGACAGGGAUGCGUCCUAUUAGCUAGCUGGUGGGGUAAGGGCCUACCAGGGCGACGAUGGGUAGCUGGUCUGAGAGGAUGAUCAGCCACACUGGGACUGCGACACGGCCCAGACUCCUACGGGAGGCAGCAGUGGGGAAUUUUGCGCAAUGGGCGCAAGCCUGACGCAGCAACGCCGCGUGCAUGACGACGCCUUUCGAGGUGUAAAGUGCUGUCGACCGGGACGAAGGGGCGAGGGUGAACAGCUUUCGCGCAUGACGGUACCGGUGGAGGAAGCCCCGGCUAACUCCGUGCCAGCAGCCGCGGUAAGACGGAGGGGGCGAGCGUUGUACGGAAUUACUGGGCGUAAAGCGCGCGUAGGCGGUGCAGCAAGUGGUGCGUGAAAGCCCUCGGCUUAACCGGGGACGGGCGUGCCAAACUGUUGGACUGGAGUGCCGGAGGGGGAGGCGGAAUUCCUGGUGGAGCGGUGAAAUGCGUAGAGAUCAGGA
rnacentral:rRNA from 1 species